GGGAGUGUAGCUCAGUGGCUAUAGUGCAUGCUUAGCAUUCAUGAGACCUGGGUUUGAUCCCUAGCAUCCCCC
rnacentral:tRNA from 1 species